rnacentral:rRNA from 1 species
GGCCCGGACACCGGAAGGAUUGACAGAUUGAGAGCUCUUUCUUGAUUCGGUGGGUGGUGGUGCAUGGCCGUUCUUAGUUGGUGGAGCGAUUUGGUCUGGUUAAUUCCGAUAACGAACGAGACUCUAGCCUGCUAACUAGGCGAUUUCCGGUACCCACAACAGUGUUACCGGCGAUUCAAUUUCUUCUUAGAGGGACAGGCGGCUCCUAGCCGCACGAGACUGAGCAAUAACAGGUCUGUGAUGCCCUUAGAUGUCCUGGGCCGCACGCGCGCUACACUGAAGGAAUCAGCGUGUCAUCCCUGGCCGACAGGCCCGGGUAACCCGUUGAACCUCCUUCGUGCUAGGGAUUGGGGCUUGCAAUUGUUCCCCAUGAACGAGGAAUUCCCAGUAAGCGCGAGUCAUAAGCUCGCGUUGAUUACGUCCCUGCCCUUUGUACACACCGCCCGUCGCUACUACCGAUUGAAUU